rnacentral:tRNA from 1 species
GGGAUUGUGGCUUAGAGGUAGAGUGCUCGCCUAGCACGCGUGAGGCACUGAGUUCGACCCUCAGCACCA